GCAGUCGACGUGAAGGGGUACUUGUAUCCCUGAAAGUGGCGGACGGGUGAGUAAGACGUAGGUGACCUACCUCUGAGUGGGGGAUAACCAUUGGAAACGAUGGCUAAUACCGCAUGGGUUACUGGUGCUGGGAAGCACGGGUAACAAAGCUUUGGCGCUGGGAGAGGGGCCUACGGCCGAUUAGCUAGUUGGUGAGGUAAAGGCUCACCAAGGCAAUGAUCGGUAGCUGGUCUGAGAGGACGAUCAGCCACACGGGAACUGAGACACGGUCCCGACUCCUACGGGGGGCAGCAGUGAGGAAUAUUCGGCAAUGGGGGGAACCCUGACCGAGCAACGCCGCGUGGAGGAAGACGGUCUUUGGAUUGUAAACUCCUUUUCUCAGGGAAGAGCGAGGACGGUACCUGAGGAAUCAGUCACGGCUAACUACGUGCCAGCAGCCGCGGUAAUACGUAGGUGGCAAGCGUUAUCCGGAAUUACUGGGCGUAAAGCGCACGCAGGUGGUUGUCUAAGACGGACGUGAAAGCUCCUGGCUUAACUGGGAGAGGUCGUUGGUGACUGCAUGACUUGAGGCGAGGAGAGGGGUGUAGAAUUCCCGGUGUAGUGGUGGAAUGCGUAAAGAUCGGGAGGAAUACCAGUGGCGAAAGCGACACCCUGGCCUUGGCCUGACGCUCAGGUGCGAAAGCGUGGGGAGCGAACGGGAUUAGAUACCCCGGUAGUCCACGCUGUAAACGAUGAACACUAGGUG
rnacentral:rRNA from 1 species